rnacentral:rRNA from 1 species
CGAUUUAACGGAAGUUUUCGGAUGGAAGUUGAAUUGACUGAGUGGCGGACGGGUGAGUAACGCGUGGGUAACCUUCCUUGUACUGGGGGACAACAGUUAGAAAUGACUGCUAAUACCGCAUAAGCGCACAGUAUCGCAUGAUACAGUGUGAAAAACUCCGGUGGUACAAGAUGGACCCGCGUCUGAUUAGCUAGUUGGUAAGGUAACGGCUUACCAAGGCGACGAUCAGUAGCCGACCUGAGAGGGUGACCGGCCACAUUGGGACUGAGACACGGCCCAAACUCC